UACGUAGGGUGCAGGCGUUAAUCGGAAUUACUGGGCGUAAAGCGUGCGCAGGCGGUUUGCUAAGUCAGGUGUGAAAUCCCCGGGCUUAACCUGGGAACUGCGCUUGUAACUGGCAAGCUAGAGUGUGGCAGAGGGGGGUGGAAUUCCAGGUGUAGCAGUGAAAUGCGUAGAGAUCUGGAGGAACACCGAUGGCGAAGGCAGCCCCCUGGGCUAACACUGACGCUCAUGCACGAAAGCGUGGAGAGCAAACAGG
rnacentral:rRNA from 1 species